GAAAUGCGAUAAGUAAUGUGAAUUGCAGAAUUCAGUGAAUCAUCGAAUCUUUGAACGCAUCUUGCGCUCCUUGGUAUUUCUUGGAGCAUGCCUGUUUGAGUAUCAUGAAAUCUUCAAAGUAAAUCUUUUGUUAACUCAAUUGGUUUCUACUUUGGUAUUGGAGGUCUUUGCAGCUUCACACCUGCUCCUCUUUGUUCAUUAGCUGGAUCUCAGUGUUAUGCUUGGUUCCACUCGGCGUGAUAAGUUAUCUAUCGCUGAGGACACUGUAAAAGGUGGCCAAGGUAAAUGCAGAUGAACCGCUUCUAAUAGUCCAUUGACUUGGACAAUACUUUUAUGAUCUGAUCUCAAAUCAGGUAGGACUACCCGCUGAACUUAAGC
rnacentral:misc_RNA from 1 species